GUAUCACUCGUCUACACGCACACUUUCAAACCGUCCGCCAUUGCAGUGUCACAAUUUGUCUUAAGUGACAUUCCCUCUGUCAAAUAUAUAACUCUAUGGUAAUAUCACAUAGUGACAUGAAAAAUACAUAGCAACAUAUAUAAAUACAACAGCCAAUACCUGGGUAAACAUUACAUUGUAA